AUCACAGAAAGAAAGAAUGCCCUUUUGUUCAUCAUCUAGGUGUAGUUUUGUACAUGAAGUGAAGCCCACAAGCCUAAUAAGGUUGGCUUGUAUUUGUCUUGAUCCUGAUUUUUCCUUCUGGGUUUGGAGCAAUGCUCAAGAGAUGCAGAUUUAUGUGAGAGAGAAGGAAGAAUAUAGAAAACUUGGGAAAUGAGGCAUUGGAUAUUUGAAUUUAGCAAGCAAGAGAAGGUUCAAAAGGGAGAAAAAGGAGAAUGAUGGUAAAAGGCAAAAGGGAGAUCUAGUAUUGUAUUAAUCUGACACUUGGGAACUGAAAUAUGCAUAAUUUAAUUGGAUGGUGAUAUGUGUGGUACAAUGUCAUAGCUCUUUUAUGCUUUUUCUGCCACUGUUUAUGGGACUGAACCAAAAGCUAAAGUUGAUACACUAAUUUUGCACUCGGUGCCUUUCAGGGUAGUGAUGAAGAAUGUUGUCUGCAUUGUAUUCUGCUUUUUGUUUCAAUGAAUACUUAGGAAUCACGAUUUCUUUUAUCAGAAUUGUCUACUAGGUCAUUGCUACCUUC